CUCAGGAGGAAAAGGAGUCUUAUACGCACCUCUACCAUCCCUGGUCUUCACAUCUUAAGUUAAGCUUACAUUCCUGAGACAAACCCCAGUAGAAUCCAGUAUGAUGAAUUAGCUUCUAUCCUGUGGCGAAACAGACCAGGACUUUUGCAUGGAAAGAAUACUGAGCUGCUUGAUAAGAGAAACUGGAUAAUUCAACUGAUUCCUGUGUUCACUAUUCUGGGCCUCUGCAUGGAGCUGAGACAAGGUUCAAAUUUUGAGACGAGUUUGCUGGACCAUGAUGCAACCUAAAUAAAAUACCUGCUUCCCGUACACUGUUGGUGCCUGCCUGGUCUUUCCUGAAACAGUG